UACGUAGGGUGCGAGCGUUAAUCGGAAUUACUGGGCGUAAAGCGUGCGCAGGCGGUUUUGUAAGCCAGAUGUGAAAUCCCCGGGCUUAACCUGGGAAUGGCAUUUGGGACUGCAAGGCUCGAGUGCGGCAGAGGAGACUGGAAUUCCUGGUGUAGCAGUGAAAUGCGUAGAUAUCAGGAGGAACACCGGUGGCGAAAGGCGGCAUCCUGGACCGGCAUGACGCUGAGGAGCGAAAGCUAGGGGAGCAAACGGG
rnacentral:rRNA from 1 species